GACGAACGCUGGCGGCGUGCUUAACACAUGCAAGUCGAGCGGUAAGGCCCCUUCGGGGGUACACGAGCGGCGAACGGGUGAGUAACACGUGAGCAACCUACCCUCAACUUCGGGAUAAGCCUCGGAAACGGGGUCUAAUACCGGAUAUCACUCCAUUCUUCAUGGUUUGGGGUUGAAAGUUCUGGCGGUUGGGGAUGGGCUCGCGGCCUAUCAGCUUGUUGGUGGGGUAAUGGCCUACCAAGGCGUCGACGGGGUAGCCGGCCUGAGAGGGCGACCGGCCACACUGGGACUGAGACACGGCCCAGACUCCUACGGGAGGCAGCAGUGGGGAAUAUUGCGCAAUGGGCGAAAGCCUGACGCAGCAACGCCGCGUGAGGGAUGACGGCC
rnacentral:rRNA from 1 species